rnacentral:rRNA from 1 species
GAUGAACGCUGGCGGCGUGCUUAACACAUGCAAGUCGAACGGAAAUGUCACGCUGAUGCGAUUUCGGUCAAAUCUUGUGGCGUUUUAGUGGCGGACGGGUGAGUAACGCGUGGGUAACCUGCCUCACACUGGGGGAUAACACUUAGAAAUAGGUGCUAAUACCGCAUAAGCGCACGGGACUGCAUGGUCUUGUGUGAAAAACUCCGGUGGUGUGAGAUGGACCCGCGUCUGAUUAGCUGGUUGGCGGGGUAACGGCCCACCAAGGCGACGAUCAGUAGCCGGCCUGAGAGGGUGGACGGCCACAUUGGGACUGAGACACGGCCCAA